CCUGCCACUGCGAGAACGGGACCACGUGCCAUGGCGAGACGGGGGCAUGUCUGUGCCCGCUGGGAUUCACAGGCGCACACUGCGAGCUCCCCUGCCACAGCGGCUCCGAUGGGCACCCUUGCCCGGCUCACUGCCCCUGCCAGAAAGGGGGCAUCUGCCACCCCCCGAACAGCACCCACUGCCUCUGCCCUCCAGGAUGGAUGGGCACUAUCUGCUCCAUCCCAUGCCCACCGGGG